GUGCUCGCUUCGGCAGCACAUACACUAAAAUUGGAAUAAUACAGAGAUUAGCAUGGCCCCUGCGAAAGGAUGACACACAAAUUUGUAAAGCGUUCCAUAUUUUU
rnacentral:snRNA from 1 species